GAUAAACGCUGGCGGCGUGCCUAAUACAUGCAAGUCGAGCGAAUGGAUUAAGAGCUUGCUCUUAUGAAGUUAGCGGCGGACGGGUGAGUAACACGUGGGUAACCUGCCCAUAAGACUAGGAUAACUCCGGGAAACCGGGGCUAAUACCGGAUAACAUUUUGAACCGCAUGGUUCGAAAUUGAAAGGCGGCUUCGGCUGUCACUUAUGGAUGGACCCGCGUCGCGUUAGCUAGUUGGUGAGGUAACGGCUCACCAAGGCAACGAUGCGUAGCCGGCCUGAGAGGGGGAUCGGCCAAACUGGGACUGAGACACGGCCCAGACUCCUACGGGAGGGAGCAGUAGGGAAUCUUCCGCAAUGGACGAAAGUCUGACGGAGCAACGCCGCGUGAGUGAUGAAGGCUUUCGGGUCGUAAAACUCUGUUGUUAGGGAAGAACAAGUGCUAGUUGAAUAAGCUGGCACCUUGACGGUACCUAACCAGAAAGCCACGGCUAACUACGUGCCAGCCGCCGCAGUAA
rnacentral:rRNA from 1 species